GUUAAGGCUCUUAAGCUUGAGUUUUAUGAUUUAACUGGGAACACAUGGGAUCGAUGGUAUAAAGGAAAGUUUGUUAAAUUGGAUAGGAAGAUGUUCCUGUUGAAGAUAAAUUAUCGAAGUGAACUGGAUUACUUUAAGAUUGAGGAGGUUGAAGACGUCCAAGAACAACUUCUUGUUAACAUGGAAUAUUUAAGGUAAACCAUCUGUCUAUUUGUAUUUUAAUUGUUUAUUAUACUAGUAUAUUAUUAAAACUUUUGUUCGUACAGGAUCCUUAUAAAAUAAUUAUCGUUCCUACAAGAUAGACGAUAAUUUGAUCUGUAAAAGAUUAAUCGAGGCAGCUAAGGAUAUCACUCUACAUAAAAUAUAUUGCGGUAUAUAUUUGUAUAUAGUUUGGAAAAAUUGCUAGGAAGAAUUUAAACAUUGCUUUUCAUGUUGCAAAUCGUAUUCUAGAUGCAAGUAUAAAACGUUCACCGAUGAUGGCUGAGAUAUCGUAUCAUCGAAAGGAUUUGUUGAUUUAUCCAGUUAUUAAUGACGUUCCGAACUUCAGCUUGUUAAGCAGGGUUUCGUGGUUAAUUACUCCACAAGCUGAUAUUACUAUACAACUAUGUGACCUCCAUCAUUCAUCAGUACUAAGAAAACCACACAUAUAUAUUUUGGAUUCAUUGUUCGAGGUGCUUAAUCAAAUGACAAACCAUCAUUUAAAACUUCAGUUGAUCGCCUAUGGUUUCCAAAGCCUUGUGCAAUUAAUAUAAUCAUUUGGUGUCUGAUACUCUAGGCGCUAUUGGUAUAUUCGCUAUCUUAUUAAUUUCUAACAUUGAUUCUAAAGAAACAUUUCUUAAGCUCCAACAAGUUCUCAAAUUAUGACAUUUGCUUUUUAGAUGCGGAGAACCAGGUAAUGUAUCCAUUUUGAUAAUCUGUCUAUUUUAUCUUUUUAGAUAUUUUUGAUUAUAAUCCUUGUAUUUUUUGAAUUUUUUAUUAUUUGAUUUUAGGUGCAUCAUUCUUAUGUAGAUCAUCCGAUUAUUAUUUGUCAAUACUCUUGAGAAAAUUUACAACUAAUACUAAACAUGGGUCGAGUGUUUUAAUUGGUGCACUUUUGUCAUGAACCUUGUUCAAUGUAUUAUUUUUUUCUAUUUGAUAAGCAUUGUAAAGAUUACUCUGCACCGUGAACCUUGAUUUAGUGCAUUAUUGUUUUUUAAUUUGAUAACUUUUGUGCAUAUUAUUAUACUCUGCACCAUCGAUGUAGUGGUUCCACGUCAGGACGAGAACAAGCCCAAGAUGAUCCAUGAAAGUUAGAGGAGUAAGAAGGAAAUAUCUCCUAUCGGCUUUAAGGAAAUGGACUGGGAUAGAUAUAGUUUCAUAAGUUUCUAUCAUUACCUUGAUUGUGUGGUAUAAAUUAUUUGCGUUUUGUUUAGACAUAAACUGAACUUUGUUAAAUUUAAAAACAAAAAAAUAGUGUGGCAAGGUAUAAAAGUAUUUAACACAAUCUUGUGAAAGUGAAAAUUGCAGCGCAUAGAGAGAGGUGGAGGGAAGAAAGAGAUUGUGGUAGGGAGUCGAACUGUAGGGGAGAAAGAGCAGGGAUAAGGGCAGGAUGCAGUUUGGCAAAGAGGGUUUGGGCAAGUAGAGAAACUCAAACGUUGGAAGUAGAAAUUCUGGCGGGUGAUAGCAUGCUACUCAAGCUAAGUGGCCAUAGGUAGUUUCUCGAGGACCUGUUUGUUCAUGCGUUAGAGGUUGUAUUUACAUAUUACUACAUACAUUGUAAAAUGUACCUAUAAAGGAUCAGUAGACAAUGUUGUGAUAAGCGAAAUGUACGACAUAUUUGAAAAUAAAGGAAUGUACUGCAUAGCCAGGCCUGUAGAUGAAUGAAGAGUAGGUGCAACACAUGAGAUGCUUCCCCUUAGUCAUUAUGUACAUUCUGUGCAAGGAGAGAAAUAAGAAAGUUUUUGAUGGAUUAGAGAAUGACUUUGUACUAGUUUAUUUUUAUUUAAUUUCUGAUCACUCAUGAGGUCCUUGUUUUGUGAUUUUAUCUAUUUAAUUAUAUUUCUGAAAAAUAGAAUCAACAAUUUCUUCUUCCAUACUUGUGAUAGUUGUUGUCGGAGCAUAUUUCCAUUUAUCAAUUAACUUAUGUGAUUGGCGUUCUUUACAGGUCAAAAUGCAGUUAGUGCUACCUACUAAAUGGUAAGAUAUUACCUACAUGUUUUUAAUUGUAACAUUAUGUGCAAAUGUGAAUAUUUCGGCGCUUCUUCUUUGAUCUUGUUUUUGGGCUCUUCUGUCCUCUUGGCAUGAUAAAUACGAUGUCUUAUUCUUUUUCCAAUCAAGUGCUCUUUCUCCGUGGAAUUGUGUAAUUAGGAAUAAGAUAUACUUUCUCUUAUUUUUAUGUUAUUUUGAAACAAUAUAUAAAUCGUGAAAUACUUGAAAGAAUAAUCAAACCAAAAUAGGAACAAUCUUUUUUCUUAUUAACUUCAUAUGUAUCUUAAUAAGCACAUUCCUAC